rnacentral:lncRNA from 1 species
GCUUGCUGUACAGACUGCUGCCAAGGCUGCUCUGUAGCAGUGCUGCUGAGCUCACGAAGGCAACGGAAGGUGAUGGCACCUGGGAGGCAAGGUUGGGCUUGGAAAACAGCUCCAGAGUUGUCCUUGAAGAAAACAAGACAAUGUGAAUGGCAGCACUUUAAGUGCUCACAAAAUCCCUAGCCAAAACUGGUCCUCAUACCAAGCUGCUAGGAGAAAAUGAAGGCAGAGGUUCCUGCCCUGCUUGAGUUCCUGCCCUAACUUCUUCAGUGAUGGAACUGUUACCUGGAAGUGUAAGCUGAAAUAAACCUUUUCUUUCUAAAAUAGCUUUGGGUCAUGGUGUUUCCUCACAGAAAUAGCAACAUUAAUUAGGACAGGAUUCUAUGGUUGCA